rnacentral:tRNA from 1 species
GGAGAGAUGGCUGAGUGGUCGAAAGCGUAUCCCUGCUAAGGAUAUAGGGGGGAAACUCCCUCGAGGGUUCGAAUCCCUCUCUCUCCG